rnacentral:antisense_RNA from 1 species
ACCGACAUCAGCGAUUCAUUUUGCGAACCAUUGCCGACCGCAAGAUAGGAGUGCAUGCCCAGCUCUUUCAUCUGCUGCUCACCGAUGACGCGAGUGACAACAUUUUUGCUAUAGCUGUCAGCCAACUGACGCGCCUGAGAAGCCAGGUAGGCGGCGUUACAGAUAUUCGGCGGCAUAUUGCCGAGAUCUUUUGC